rnacentral:rRNA from 1 species
UACGGGGGGGGCAAGCGUUGUUCGGAAUUACUGGGCGUAAAGGGUUCGUAGGUGGCUCGCUAAGUCAGACGUGAAAUCCCUCAGCUUAACUGGGGAACUGCGUCUGAGACUGGCGAGCUGGAGUGCAGGAGAGGAACGCGGAAUUCCAGGUGUAGCGGUGAAAUGCGUAGAUAUCUGGAGGAACACCGGUGGCGAAGGCGGCGUUCUGGACUGCAACUGACACUGAAGAACGAAAGCCAGGGGAGCAAACGGG